CUUGUGCGCACCACGUUGUUUCUCCUCGGCGAGCCCUGUUUGUCAUCCCAGCCUUGGAUCCAGCCAAUUAUGGACUGAAACCUCUAUGAACUAUAAAAAUGGUUGACUGCAGGUAACUGAAGAUGACUCAACAUGAUACAUUUUUAUGAACAAAUCAUUAGAAGGGUCUUGCUCCGCAGUUCCGAUAAGCCAUGAAUUUGUGAUCCUCCUGCCUCAGCUUCCAAGUGCUAUAAGUAUAGUUUGCAUCAUCACACUCAGCUUUUUGUUGAGCUCUUUGGAUGGAAAUUCUUACAUGUUGGACAACUUUUGCAGCUUUUGAUCACCUGGAAAUAUGUUCAAUUUACUGCCAUUAUCCUUUUCCAAAUCAUGAACACAGGCAAGAGCACAGGACUGGAGAACAGAGUGACAAGCAGAUCACAGCAGAUUUCUCUGUGUGUUAGUGUGGAUAAACACUUAUGUAUAUGUACUAACUCACAUUUCACCAAAUUGGCUUGACUUUAUCAACAUUUUCUUUCAAAUUUAUUACUUGCAAACAUUUUGGUAAAAUGUUCAUGCAUUAUUUCUCCUGAGAUGUGAUGACUGGACCAGUACUUCUUACAUGUACCCCUCCGUGAUUCAACUACUACCUGUGGAAAACAACAAGCAAGCAAACCAGCAAACAAACCAGUGAAGCAACCAAAUAACUGGCUACAAUUGCUUAGUGAAAAGAGAACCAAAAGUCUAUGUCAUUAGCUACUUAUUAAUCUUUGGGCAAGUUACUUUAUUCUUAAAUCUCACAUUUCUUGUAAAAUCAAGAUAAGAAAAAUUCCAUAGCUAAAAGCAUUGGUGCUAUGGACUGUAAAUGUCUUUGAAUAUUUUGACCAAACACUUUAAAAGAGAUGGUGAAUAUCUUUCAAAAUCAACUUUCUACCAGGAUUUUCAAACUUCAAAAUGCACCAGCAUUAUCCAGAGACUUACUAAAACACAGAUGGCUGGUAACCCAGAAUUUCUGAUUAAAUAGGUCUGCCAAGAAUCAUCCUGUCUUACAAUUUCUUAACUCUUUUUGAUGUUGCUGGCAGGUGCACUGUACUUGGGGAACCACUGGGGAGAUGUGGAGAACAGUUAUAUGUAGACUACGAAGGACAGUGAAAGAAAUGGAUACCUUGACUAAGAUACUGACUGGUGACUGAUCAGAUAAGGAACAAGAAAGCGUGGCUGUGUGUGGCUCAGUGGCAGAAGCAUGCCUAGCUCAAGGCAUGUGUCUUGAUCCCAACAGCAGGGGCAAGAGGAGGAAGAGGUUUUUGGUUCUAAGUUCAGAUUUGAAAGACAUGAUGCUCAGAGUGUGCAGGACCACCAGAGGACACAGAUGACUUUCACAAGAUGCAUCGUUGGACAUCAGCUCAUAAGUACAACUCUCACUGAAAAAGGACUGUGCUGACCUUCUUCAAAGAUGUGUAGAUCCCUGUUCACUCCCUAGGUAAGAGGCUUUUCUUAACCUCUGACACAAGGUCCGGACUUGUAUGGGC
rnacentral:lncRNA from 1 species